rnacentral:rRNA from 1 species
ACGACGCUGGCGGCGUGCUUAACACAUGCAAGUCGAACGAUGACGAUGGUGCUUGCACCGUCUGAUUAGUGGCGAACGGGUGAGUAACACGUGAGUAACCUGCCCUCCCCUUCGGGAUAACCGCCGGAAACGGUGGCUAAUACCGGAUAUGAAUGUCUGCCGCAUGGUGGGUGUUGGAAAGAUUUAUCGGUGGGGGAUGGACUCGCGGCCUAUCAGUUUGUUGGUGACGGUAAUGGCUCACCAAGGCGAUGACGGGUAGCCGGCCUGAGAGGGCGACCGGCCACACUGGGACUGAGACACGGCCCAGACUCCUACGGGAGGCAGCAGUGGGGAAUAUUGCACAAUGGGCGAAAGCCUGAUGCAGCGACGCCGCGUGGGGGAUGACGGCCUUCGGGUUGUAAACCUCUUUCAGCAGGGAAGAAGCGAGAGUGACGGUACCUGCAGAAGAAGCGCCGGCUAACUACGUGCCAGCCGCCGC